rnacentral:rRNA from 1 species
GGGCGUUAAGUUGCAGGGUAUAGACCCGAAACCCGGUGAUCUAGCCAUGGGCAGGUUGAAGGUUGGGUAACACUAACUGGAGGACCGAACCGACUAAUGUUGAAAAAUUAGCGGAUGACCUGUGGCUGGGGGUGAAAGGCCAAUCAAACCGGGAGAUAGCUGGUUCUCCCCGAAAGCUAUUUAGGUAGCGCCUCGUGAAUUCAUCUCCGGGGGUAGAGCACUGUUUCGGCUAGGGGGCCAUCCCGGCUUACCAACCCGAUGCAAACUGCGAAUACCGGAGAAUGUUAUCACGGGAGACACACGGCGGGUGCUAACGUCCGUCGUGAAGAGGGAAACAACCCAGACCGCCAGCUAAGGUCCCAAAGUCAUGGUUAAGUGGGAAACGAUGUGGGAAGGCCCAGACAGCCAGGAUGUUGGCUUAGAAGCAGCCAUCAUUUAAAGAAAGCGUAAUAGCUCACUGGUCGAGUCGGCCUGCGCGGAAGAUGUAACGGGGCUAAACCAUGCACCGAAGCUGCGGCAGCGACACUGUGUGUUGUUGGGUAGGGGAGCGUUCUGUAAGCCUGUGAAGGUGGCCUGUGAGGGUUGCUGGAGGUAUCAGAAGUGCGAAUGCUGACAUAAGUAACGAUAAAGCGGGUGAAAAGCCCGCUCGCCGGAAGACCAAGGGUUCCUGUCCAACGUUAAUCGGGGCAGGGUGAGUCGACCCCUAAGGCGAGGCCGAAAGGCGUAGUCGAUGGGAAACGGGUUAAUAUUCCCGUACUUGGUGUUACUGCGAAGGGGGGACGGAGAAGGCUAUGUUGGCCGGGCGACGGUUGUCCCGGUUUAAGCGUGUAGGUGUGUGUUCCAGGUAAAUCCGGUUCACUUUAACACUGAGGCGUGACGACGAGGCACUACGGUGCUGAAGCAACAAAUGCCCUGCUUCCAGGAAAAGCCUCUAAGCAUCAGGUAACAUCAAAUCGUACCCCAAACCGACACAGGUGGUCAGGUAGAGAAUACCAAGGCGCUUGA